rnacentral:rRNA from 1 species
UGAGUAACCUGCCCUUGACUCUGGGAUAAGCACUGGAAACGGUGUCUAAUACCGGAUACGAGCUUCAGCCGCAUGGCUAGGAGUUGGAAAGAAUUUCGGUCAAGGAUGGACUCGCGGCCUAUCAGCUAGUUGGUGAGGUAAUGGCUCACCAAGGCGACGACGGGUAGCCGGCCUGAGAGGGCGACCGGCCACACUGGGACUGAGACACGGCCCAGACCUCCUACGGGAGGNAG